rnacentral:rRNA from 1 species
AGCGAACGCUGGCGGCAGGCUUAACACAUGCAAGUCGAGCGGGCCUUUCGGGGUCAGCGGCGGACGGGUGAGUAACGCGUGGGAACGUGCCCUCUGGUUCGGAAUAACUCAGGGAAACUUGAGCUAAUACCGGAUACGCCCUUUUGGGGAAAGGCUUGCUGCCGGAGGAUCGGCCCGCGUCUGAUUAGCUAGUUGGUGAGGUAACGGCUCACCAAGGCGACGAUCAGUAGCUGGUCUGAGAGGAUGAUCAGCCACACUGGGACUGAGACACGGCCCAGACUCCUACGGGAGGCAGCAGUGGGGAAUAUUGGACAAUGGGCGCAAGCCUGAUCCAGCCAUGCCGCGUGAGUGAUGAAGGCCUUAGGGUUGUAAAGCUCUUUUAUCCGGGACGAUAAUGACGGUACCGGAGGAAUAAGCCCCGGCUAACUUCGUGCCAGCAGCCG